CACGACAGAGGCUCAACCCCGCUAACAGGACUCAGCAAUUUAAUCGCUGGAUCCCGCAGAACCACUGGACCCUGUACCGCCCAAAAAUCAUUAUCCGGUCCCGACUGGGCUUCAGACGCGUUCCCUGAUUUUUCCGAGUUGCAGACCUCUCCUCAGCUGAGCCAUUUGCACAUAUCCUGCCCGAACUCUUAUGGGAAACUGUGACGGAUGGUUCAUCAUACUUGUUUUAAUUAUUCAGCUGUGCAGACAGCACCCUGGGGAGACGUGCUGCAGCGCAUUACAAAAAACACACAUUCAGUGAUAUAAUCAUAAUGAUGAUAAUGAAAUGUAUUUAGAGCACAUCAGUGCCUCCCUCUCUCUCUUUGCCUCUGCCUCUCGCAGCUCUGGUGUGAGGAUGUGAGUGCUGUCUGAUGCAGAAGAGGCAAGUUUGCUGCGCUCUGGCCCCCGGUGGCUCCUUGUGGAGGCCUGUGGUGCCCCGCACGAUGGCUCACCGGAGAUUAGCCGUCAGAGCGGAGGGCUUUGCAUACCUCAUGUGCCGUCAACUGCGAAGGCUUACCUGACAGGUGUUGCUCUCGUUCAGAUCUGUUGUGUCCUCCUGAGCUGAAGCUUCGGUGGGGCGCCUGUAGGUAGGAGAAACCUUCCUUCCUACUGUCACUCAUCACGGGCCACGCAGCCAGACCAAAGCCAAAUCUCUCCUCAAUGAGAGCCCAAUGAUGUCUGAUCAGUGUGGCACAAAAACACUCCGGGCGCUGCUUGAAUAGUCCUUGCUUAAAUAUGUCAUUGAGCAUUGCAAACUUUUUGUGGAAAAAAUAUUUGGGAGUGCUGCGCAUGGUUGCUUAUCAUUUCAAAUCUAAGUAUUGUGCAACUGUAAAUGUUUUUUCAAAUGUGAUAUUUGGGUUUAUUGGGAGUCUCCGAGAGAUGUAUUCAAACUCUCCUGGCUUCCCAUACUUCCAACAACGCUGUUCACUCCUUAGUGCAUCUACAGUAUGAGUUGACCUGUUUGUUAUGUUUGUAUACACUCUCACUGGAGAAUUUGUGAAAUAAGAACAUCUAAGUAGUUUUGUAUCCUGUCCUGUAUUAAAGUUUGCUGUCAGGUUAAUCUA